rnacentral:pre_miRNA from 1 species
UACGGAGGUUUUCCUCGACAGUUAACUGCAGCCGGUUUCAAAUUACUCGACAGUUAACUACCGAGGAAACA